rnacentral:rRNA from 1 species
GGCCAGACUCCUACGGGAGGCAGCAGUAGGGAAUUUUUGGCAAUGGGGGGAACCCUGACCGAGCAACGCCGCGUGAACGAAGAAGUUCUUCGUAAUGUAAAGUUCUUUUAUCAGGGAAGAAAGAGGAAUUUGACGGUACCUGAGGAAUAAGCUCCGGCUAACUACGUGCCAGCAGCCGCGGUAAUACGUAGGGAGCAAGCGUUGUCCGGAAUUACUGGGCGUAAAGGGCGCGUAGGUGGGCGCUUAAGUCAGGUGUGAAAACUCCGGGCUCAACCUGGAGACUGCACUUGAAACUGGGUGUCUUGAGGGCAGGAGAGGAAAGUGGAAUUCCUAGUGUAGCGGUGAAAUGCGUAGAUAUUAGGAGGAACACCAGUGGCGAAGGCGACUUUCUGGACUGUACCUGACGCUGAGGCGCGAAAGCGUGGGUAGCGAACGGGAUUAGAUACCCGAGUACC